GACUGAAGACUGUAAAAAUAUAAGAAUUUAUUGUUAAUGUUUAAUGGGGUAGUUAGUGGCAAAAAUAUGAUCCUCGAUCUAUUCUAGAGGAGGAAAGAGGACCUUUAGGAAAGAAGACUUUCUUAUUUGCAGAAGAACUGACCCUUUUGACUGUAUGUUUUCACCUCUGUGAGGUCAUAGAGUGGAGGGGUAAGAAUGCCAACUUGCGGUGGAACAUGGGAGGGAGGUAUAAGCACUCGGGAAACAGAAUGCACAACAAUAAACUACCAUCUCUUAAGUAUCUGCUAUACUCCAGGCCCAUUACACGUGUUGUUUAACAUCAUCAUCACAGCAGGCUGACCGGGUAGAUGUACUUAUCUUUCUAACUAGAAAUGGAGCCUUAGAGUCUGAGAGGUUAAGUACUAACAGAGAGUUCCCCAGAUAAAAAGUAGCAAUGGCAGGAUUUGAACCCAGGCCUGCUUGGCUCUAAUAGCCCAGGCCUUUCCUGCUGUAAUGUGUGGCCUUAUACUUGACUAAAUCUCCAAAAAACUUUUCUAGGGACCUGUCCUAAGCUGGUUACUUAAGAAUCACUCAGGAAACUUGUAAAAAUGCAAUUUUUAAGCACUCCCCUAGGGAGAAUGUCAUCACAGAUUUAGGUUUUUCCUUUCUCUUUCUUUCUUUGCAUUUCAUAUCCUCCUCCAUUACUUCAGCUGCUUAAGGGACUACAGUAAUCAAUACUUUUUGUCUUUCAAACAUCUUAUACCUUAUACUUUUUCUUGAAAACACUGACAAAUGCACAUUCAUUUUGUCAAGCCAGGGACCCCCGAGGUUCCCCAACAGACUGUUAUACAAUCAGCAACUCCCACUUGUUCCAACAAUAUACUUUUAUCCACUUAUUCUGCUGGGGUGCAAGAGUCAUCUUUAGGACACAGUUCACUGCUGGGAGAGGCCUCCCCUUGGGCAGGACUUGCCCUAGUAGGGAAACAGAAGCAGAAAGCAGUGGAUUCCUGGGGUUUUAUUCAUCUAAUCAUUCAAGGUGGGCACAGAAAGCCUGACAUCUGAGCUGAGACCUGACGGAUGACAGAGUGAACCGUGAAUUGCUGGGGAAAAGCAUACCAGGCAGAGGGAACAGCGAGUGCAAAGACUCCCUUGGGGGAGUUUGAGGUAGUGCAAGAAGGCUAGUAUCCAGCAGGAAGCCUGGAGUGGAGUGUGCAAGAAGGAGCAAGUCAUAUUCUCUAACUGAAGAAGCCCAAACUGACCCGAGUGGAGAAACCAUAUGGAGAGACUGCAUGCAGGUGUUUUGGCUGAUGGCCCAGUCCAAACCUAUAGCCAGCGUCGACCACUGGACAUGUGCAUGUCAGGAAGAAGUCGUUGAGAUGACUUUAUCCCUAGCCACCAUCUGAAUGCAGCCUCAUGAACAACCUCAAACAUUACCCAGGAAAGAUUCAUCUGCAGUUCUGAGCUUUUCAAACUGGGGACGUGUAGCAGUGUGCUAGGGUUUCUACAAAGCUGCAGGAAAACCACGGUUCAUCACUCUGGAGCAUCAAUUUUACUCAGUGAAGCCUUCAGUGGCACGACACGUGAUUCUUGUUAUGAAGACGCCACAUCAUUUUGUAAUGCCUGAAGUCCCUAAACCUCCCACAAAAGACCUCCAGAGUCGAGUUCACCAGCUUCACACCUCAGAGUAGCUGUUGAUGGUCCCCACCUCCUGCCAUUCUCAGUUACUGUCUUCAACACCUCACUCCUCUCCUCAGCUACUACAGCCAGAGGGAAGAAGGUGAGGUCACCAAUAGUGGGCCUGAAGCUGGUGAAAUGCCAGGGAGCGAACCAACUCAUUAUAGCUGGGCCGUAAGUCUUUCCAUUCUCCUGACAGCCACCUGUUUCCAUAGACAGGAAGGGCUGGUGGCCAGAUGUCUUCGUAUGAACUUCUCUGCAGGGUCCUAAGGGAAAGAGAAAUACUGCCGCCAGUGUUUGCUUAUCUCUCUCCAGCAGCAUUCCCAGGGGUCCUGGUCCCGGCUCUGAGGAGCGCAGCGGGGGCCAGGCACCGUCUCUUGCCACGCCGCCUGCAGACCUGGCCCAUCUGCUCACAGAGCGCCUCGCCACCCGCCACCCGCGCUGCUGUCUGCUGCUGUCUGGGUGUUUCCGGCCGUCAGACUGCAUAGGCUGGCUUCGACAAAGUGACAGAAGCUGUAAAAACAGCUGUUUGACAUUCCCUGCUGCUUUUUAAAACCAAACAACAACCAACAAAGAGGUUGAAUGAAAUGCAGAAAAUACCCUUGUUUUCAUGUGGAUGAGGAUAUUUUUACUCAGAGAACAUUUAUUUUCCUUCUGCCUUGCUCUAUUCCCUAUUUACCUACCCACUCAUUUCCCUCCCUCCCUGCCUCUCUCUCUCUCUCCGUUCCUUCCUCCCUCCUUCCUUCCUCCCUCUCUUCCUUCUUCCUUUCCUUUCCUUCCUUCCCUCCUUCCUUCUUCCUUCCUU